CACGCGAAUGAAUAUAUGGCCACGCACGUGAUCAAGUUCACCAAUGAAAUUGCUCAUAAAUAUGGACAGCCAAUCAGAUUUGGUAAGACAGUCACAACUAUCGCAUUUUGACGUUUCGGCGGGAGUAUACCAUGGUGAGAAUAUUAACCGACAGGGCUGGACGUGAUACCAAAAAUACAAUACCUCGAUGGCAGUACUGGAGCUGUGGGUAGCAGAUUCCUUGUAGGCUGAACUAGAGCAGGGAUGGAGCAGAGAUACCUCGAUAGGCUGUACUGGAUGCGGAGGAGUUGCUGCCGACAUACCACAAAGACUGUACUGGAUGCGGAGGAGUUGCUGCCGACAUACCACAAAGACUGUACUGGAUGUGGAGCACUUGACCGGGCAUCGGUCAGGUAUUUCCUUCGGGACUACGGUAAUAUUCUUUCUUUUCUCCUUCUGUUGUAAGAAUGAAGGAAAUGUGUCAGAUCUAAAAAUCUAAACAUGUGGGCAUGUCAAUUCCGCCAAAUGUGGAUUUGAUCAUGCCAUACACCCGCAUGUGGCAAGAAUGAUAUUGUAUUCGAUGAUGCAAGAUUUUCCUUCUCUGAAGAUUUGUGAAACUUGAGUUGAAUGUGGGGCGAAUGGACUUGAUAGAUCAACAGCGCUUAUAAUUUGAUUGACAUGAGAGGUAUAGUGUUUGGAUAGGCCGACUUUGAUUCUUUUUUCUGACCAUUGCCUGUCCUUCAGCUACAACAGAUGUACUGUUAUUACAAGCAAUAGUGCUUUGUAUUGAACAGUACGCGGCCUGAUGACGAAUGUCAGAAGAUAUCGUUUUUAUAUGUGGCGGCGGUAAUGUAUCACCGAUUUUACCAAAAUUUGGUUUGGUAAAACGAUACUAUUGCAAAUCUUUCAAAAUGAUGACACUCUGUCAGAAUAAUGUAUUGCAGAUCCUGGGGAAUGGCGGACGUUGACGACAGCCCGGGACAUGGAGCAGGGAUGGAGCAGAGAUGCCUCGAUAAGCUGUACCGGAUACAGAGGGGUUACUGCCGACAUACCUCAAUGGCUGUACUGGAUGCAGAAAACUUGACCGGGCAUAGGUCAAGUAUUUCCUUCGGGACUACGGUAAUAUUCUUUCUUUUUCUCAUUCUGUUGUAAGAAUGAAGGAAAGAUAAUACGUCAGAUCUAAAUUCCAAUAAGGCUACUUGCAAACCUUACUGGGCACUCUUGCAAUCGAACUAAUGGACAAUGCUGGUCUUUUGAUCGGGUCUUACAAACUGUGUUCUUCUCUGCUAUUACAAAUACCUUUAUGAGGAAAAUGUCUGCUAUUCUUUACAACUAUUCCUUCUCUAAACAUGUGGGCAUGUCAAGUCCGCCAAAUGUGGAUUUGAUCAUGCCAUACACCCGCAUGUGGCAAGAAUGAUAUUGUAUUUGAUGAUUUGUGAAACUUGAGUUGAAUGUGGGGCGAAUGGACUUGAUAGAUCAACAGCGCUUAUAAUUUGAUUGACAGGAGAGGUAUAGUGUUUGGAUAGGCCGACUUUGAUUCUUUUUUCUGACCAUUGCCUGUCCUUCAGCUACAACAGAUGUACUGUUAUUACAAGCAAUAGUGCUUUGUAUUGAACAGUACGCGGCCUGAUGACGAAUGUCAGAAGGUAUCGUUUUUAUAUGUGGCGGCGGUAAUGUAUCGCCGAUUUUACCAAAUAUUUGGUUUGGUAAAACGAUACUAUUGCAAAUCUUUCAAAAUGAUGACACUCUGUCAGAAUAAUGUAUUGCAGAUCCUGGGGAAUGGCGGACGUUGACGACAGCCCGGGACCUGGAUCAGGGAUGGAGCAGAGAUACCUCGAUAGGCUGUACCGGAUGCAGAGGGGUUACUGCCGACAUACCUCAAUGGCUGUACUGGAUGCAGAAAACUUGACCGGGCAUAGGUCAGGUAUUUCCUUCGGGACUUUGGUAAUAUUCUUUCUUUUCCUCAUUCUGUUGUAAGAAUGAAGGAAAGAUAAUACGUCAGAUCUAAAUUCCAGCAAGGCUACUUGCAAACCUUACUGGGCACUCUUGCAAUCGAACUAAUGGACAAUGCUGGUCUUUUGAUCGGGUCUUACAAACUGUGUUCUUCUCUGCUAUUACAAAUACCUUUAUGAGGAAAAUGUCUGCUAUUCUUUUACAACCAUUCCUUCUCUAAACAUGUGGGCAUGUCAAGUCCGCCAAAUGUGGAUUUGAUCAUGCCAUACACCCGCAUGUGGCAAGAAUGAUAUUGUAUUUGAUGAUGCAGGAUUUUCCUUCUCUGAAGAUUUGUGAAACUUGAGGUGAAUGUGGGGCGAAUGGACUUGAUAGAUCAACAGCGCUUAUAAUUUGAUUGACAUGAGAGGUAUAGUGUUUGGAUAAGCCGACUUUGAUUCUUUUUUCUGACCAUCGCCUGUCCUUCAUUCAGCUACAACAGAUGUACUGUUAUUACAAGCAAAAGUGCUUUGUAUUGAACAGUACGCGGCCUGAUGACGAAUGUCAGACAUACAACAGACUAAACCACAGGACCACUUAUGACAAACAAAGUGUAUGGAACAACAACCACUGACAGACUAGAGCAUGGGAACAACCAAACUCGACAACCUACAGCAAUCAACAUAAUUCUAGUAACAGACCAGAGGAGGGGGACAACAAAAGAUGGAAACACGACAGACAACAUGGAAAGCACAGGAACUACCAAUGACAGAACAGAAAGUAUGGUACAACCACCAGCAGCAACAGAAAAAGGAUAUGAAUCCAUGACAGACCAUAAAAUGUAGAAGAGAACGGGACCACUACAUAUUACACAAGAUAAGGGGUAGAAGACCUUGGAAUAUGAAAUCAAAACUGACCAGAGCACAGGACUACAAAUUACAGAACAGAGUAUGGUACAACCACCAGCAACAGAGUAAACUGAGGAUGGAUCAACAACCUGCAGCUGAUUGAACAAAAAACCUUCUAAAAUGACUAGAAUUAAAUGAUUGAACAGUAACAGACCAGACUAAAAUGGAUGGAUCUACCAACCUUAACCAAUGAAGAACUAGAACAACCAGUGACUACAGAAAGAAUCUCGUACCAGUCCAGUUCCAGUGUUGAUGGCACCGAUUCCUUACCAGUCGGGAGCUAAAAGGAUGCAGUAAUGAUGUACAACAGACUAUAGCACAUGACACAUAUAGGACAGACCAAAGCGUAUUGAACAACCACCAAUGACAGAUCAAAGAGUAUGGAACAACCUACAAUGACAGACCAACGAGUAUGGAACAACCACCAAUGACAGAUCAAAGAGUAUGGAACAACCACCAAUGACCGACCAAAGAGUAUGGAAC